rnacentral:sRNA from 1 species
GUGUGUUACAAUUGCCAGCAGCCUGGUCACAACUCUCGCGAUUGUCCAGAAGAGCGGAAACCGCGUGAAGGCCGAAAUGGAUUCACCGGUGGAAGCUCUGGUUUCGGAGGAGGAAAUGGUGGUGGAACUGGAUUCGACAGUGGAUUAACUAACGGAUUUGGUAGUGGUAACAAUGGUGAAUCUGGCUUCGGUUCGGGAGGUUUUGGUGGUAACUCGAAUGGAUUCGGAAGCGGCGGUGGGGGACAAGAUCGAGGCGAAAGGAAUAAUAGUAUGUUUGCUGCUUGAAAUCUAUCUCUUCACGUUGCUUAUAGAUUGUUUCAAUUGUCAGCAGCCAGGACAUCGAUCGAAUGACUGUCCAGAGCCGAAAAAGGAAAGGGAACCCAGAG